rnacentral:rRNA from 1 species
GAUGAACGCUGGCGGCGUGCCUAAUACAUGCAAGUCGAGCGAACAGACGAGGAGCUUGCUCCUCUGACGUUAGCGGCGGACGGGUGAGUAACACGUGGAUAACCUACCUAUAAGACUGGGAUAACUUCGGGAAACCGGAGCUAAUACCGGAUAAUAUAUUGAACCGCAUGGUUCAAUAGUGAAAGACGGUUUUGCUGUCACUUAUAGAUGGAUCCGCGCCGCAUUAGCUAGUUGGUAAGGUAACGGCUUACCAAGGCAACGAUGCGUAGCCGACCUGAGAGGGGGAUCGGCCACACUGGAGCUGAGACACGGACCAGGCGCCUACGGGAGGCAGCAGUAGGGAAUCUUCCGCAAUGGGCGAAAGCCUGACGGAGCAACGCCGCGUGAGUGAUGAAGGUCUUCGGAUCGUAAAACUCUGUUAUGAGGGAAGAACAAAUGUGUAAGUAACUAUGCACGUCUUGACGGUACCUAAUCAGAAAGCCACGGCUAACUACGUG